rnacentral:rRNA from 1 species
GAAUUCCCUUCGGGGUCUUUCUGCGAAGGUGCUGCUAUGGUUGUCGUCAGCUCGUGCCGUGAGGUGUCGGGUUAAGUCCCAUAACGAGCGCAACCCUUAUCGUUAGUUGCCAUCUGGUAAUGCAGGGGACUCUAGCGAAACUGCCACCGUAAGGUGAGAGGAAGGUGGGGAUGACGUCAAAUCAGCACGGCCCUUAUGUCCAGGGCUACACACGUGUUACAAUGGUCGGUACAGAGGGCAGCUACCUGGUGACAGGAUGCUAAUCUCGAAAACCGGUCUCAGUUCGGAUCGAAGUCUGCAACUCGACUUCGUGAAGCUGGAUUCGCUAGUAAUCGCGCAUCAGCUAUGGCGCGGUGAAUACGUUCCCGGGCCUU